rnacentral:pre_miRNA from 1 species
AGGCCCCAAGAACAGCCCCAGUGGCGGGGCCAGCUCUGGAGCCCUGGAGUUAGCCCCCGCAGUAACUCCGGAGCUCUCUCUCGGUCUGCAGGGCCUGGAGGCUCCGGGGCGGG